rnacentral:rRNA from 1 species
ACGUUGUUCGGAAUUACUGGGCGUAAAGCGCAUGUAGGCGGCCGCGCAGGUCGGAUGUGAAAGCCCUCGGCUCAACCGAGGAAGUGCAUUCGAAACCGCGCGGCUCGAGUCCCGGAGAGGGUGGUGGAAUUCUUGGUGUAGAGGUGAAAUUCGUAGAUAUCAGGAGGAACACCGGCGGCGAAGGCGGCCACCUGGACGGAGACUGACGCUGAGAUGCGAAAGUGUG